rnacentral:rRNA from 1 species
AUGAGAGCUCUGUUGUGGAGUUAUGAGAAAUUAGAUCCAUCUCUGCAGAGGUGCUUCCUUUAUUGCAGCUUGUUUCCAAAAGGCCACAAGUAUUUAAUUGAUGAGUUGGUUCAUCUUUGGAUGGCAGAGGGCCUUUUAGAUUCGUACAACCAAAACAAGAGAAAUGAAGAUGCUGGGAGGGACUGCUUCAAGGAGAUGAUCUCUGUUUCGUUCUUUCAGCAAUUUGGUAAGAAAAUGGAACAUACUCCCACAUACUAUGUUAUGCAUGAUCUCCUUCAUGAUCUGGCAGAAUCACUCUCCAAAGAGGACUACUUCAGAUUGGAAGAUGAUAAGGUGACAGAAAUACCGUCCACUGUUCGACACCUAUCGGUUUGUGUUGAUAGUAUGAAGAUACACAAGGAUAGUAUCUGCAAGCUACAUCAUUUACGCACCAUUAUCUGCAUAGACCCCCUAAUGGAUGAUGUAAGUGACAUUUUUAAUCAGGUACUACAGUAUUUGAAGAAGUUGCGCGUACUAUAUUUGUCAUCUUACAGCAGUAGUAAGUUGCCAGAAUCUGUUGGUGAGUUAAAGCACCUUCGGUAUUUGAACAUCAUCAGAACACUGAUAUCUGAAUUGCCAAGAUCAUUGUGUACUCUUUACCACUUGCAGUUACUUCUAUUAAAUGACAAAGUUGAGAGUUUUCCUGAGAAACUCUGUAAUUUAUGGAAAUUACGUCAUCUUGAACGGCGCGUGGAUUGGCAUCAUGCUUUAAUAGACACGUCAUACAAAGAAGCACCGCAUCAAAUUCCAAACAUUGGCAAGUUAACUUCGCUUCAACAAUUUGAGGUAUUUGCUGUGCAAAAGAAAAAAGGAUAUGAGUUGCAUCAACUGAGGGACAUGAACGAGAUUCGAGGCUGUUUAAAUGUAACAAAUCUUGAGAAUGUCACUGGCAAGGAUCAAGCCUUAGAAUCGAAGCUGCAUCAGAAAAGUCAUCUUGACAGAUUGCGACUUGUUUGGAGCUGCAAAAAUAACACGAAUGCAGAGAAUAGUUUACAUUUGGAGAUUCUAGAAGGACUCAUGCCACCGCCUCAACUUGGGGUUCUUGUAAUUGACGGUUACAAAUCUUCCAAAUAUCCUGGCUGGUUACUUGAUGCUUCACAUUUUGAGUUUUUGAAAUCUUUAAUCUUUGCUAAUUGCACUGCAUUACAAAGCAUACCAUCCAAUACCGAACUAUUUAGGAAUUGCUCUUCACUUAUCCUCUACAAUGUGCCAAACCUGAAGACAUUACCUUGUCUUCCGCUAGGCCUUCAAAAGUUAGAAAUAGUAAAAUGCCCACUGCUUAUAUUUAUUUCCAAUGAUGAGCUGGAACAUCAAGAGCAGAGAGAGAAUAUCACGAGUACAGACCACUUGGCAUCACAGCUUGGUUUAAUCUGGGAGGUGGAUGCAGGAUCAGAUAUCAAGAGUGUACUCUCACUGGAACAUUCAUUUCUGAAGCAGCUGAUGAUAUCGAUACAUGCUGAUGUGUCACAUGUUCAAAAUCUUGAAAGUGCUCUAGAAGGAGAAAAAGAUGAAGUACUGGCAAAAGAGGAUAUCAUCAAGGCAUGGACAUACUGUCACGAGCAAAGGAUAAGAGUCACAUAUGGAAGGAGCAUGGCGCUGCUGCUGGUUCCGCCAUCAGGUCUUUGUGAACUUGAACUUUCUUCAUGCAGCAUUACAGAUGGAGCUUUAGCUGUUUGCCUUGAUGGCCUGGCUUCACUGAAAAGGUUGUUAUUAAGAAACAUUAUGACUUUAACUACACUUCCUUCGGAAGAGGUCCUCCAACAUUUGAAAAAACUUGACCGCUUGAGCAUCUUGCAUUGCUGGUGUCUCAGGUUAUUAGGGGGCUUACGAGCUGCUACCUCUCUUUCAACUAUUAGAUUGAUGUCCUGCCCUUCUCUAGACUUGGCACGUGGAGCAGAAUGUUUGCCAUUAUCCCUUAAGACGGUCGUUAUAGUCAAGUGUGUGCUUCCAGCUGACUUCUUCUGUACUGAGUGGCCUUACAUUGAUACAAUUUUCAUAGGCAAUUGCAGAAGCACCGCUUGCUUGUCUGUUGGUAGUGUCACCUCUGUUAAAUCAUUCGAACUGGAGCACUUGCCAGAUUUAUGUAUGCUCGAAGGAUUGUCUUCCCUGCAACUGCACAACGUGCAUUUGAUUGAUGUUCCAAAACUCAUCCCUGAGUGUAUCUCACAGUUUCGAGUCCAGAGCUCACUCUAUAUUAGCAGCCCCAUGAUACUCAACAAGAUGCUCUCAGCUGAAGGUUUCACAGUUCCAUCAUUUCUCUGUUUUCUAAGAUGCAAGGAACCAUUUGGUUCAUUUGAAGAAUCCGCAAAUUUUACAUCUGUCCAGAGACUGAGAUUCUCGGAAUGUCAAAUGACUUCCCUUCCAAAAAAUCUGAAGUGCUUCUCCAAUCUGAAGAUGCUCGACAUUCUUCGCUGCCCCAACAUAUCAUCUUUACCAGAUCUGCCAGCCUCCCUCCAUCAGAUAAGUGUAUGGGGUUGUUGCGAGCGCUUGAAGGAGAGUUGCCGAGCACCUGAUGGAGAAAGUUGGCCAAAGAUUGCACAUAUUCGCAGGAAGUACUUUUUACAAAGUGUGAUUUAG